UUUCCCUUAAUUUGGUUGCCUGCAACCUAUGUUCUAUCCCUCUCAAUCCCCACUGUCAAACACACAGCAUCCACACCAUCAAACCCCCACCUUCACACCCGAUUCCCUUGUUUCACCGGCGACUAGCCGGUGUCGGCACAACUCAGGCAACCGGCCUCCCUUCUCCGACGCGACCACCCUCUCCCUUCGUCUUUCACGCACUCCCACACGACCCUUCCUCCCUUUGACGGACGAACGACCACCACGACCGCCGUCAGGUGGUGGCGUGAAGACAAGACAGAGAGAGACGAGUCGAAGGCGGUUCGACGACGACUAUUGACGACAAUAGUACUGUGAGCGACGGCCGCUGGCGGCGGAGCCGCGGCAGCAGUGGGUUCGACACGGGUGGCGGCGGCCUGUGAUGGUCCUCCGACGGAUUUUCCAAACAGGUUCAAGCAACAACUCAACAGGUUUACUCCUUUCAGUUUUCGGUUCGGGUUUUAGUUGCAUCUCGGUUUGGUUUGGGUCACGCUUCGACUCGUGUUUCAAGUUCUGGUCAGUUGUCUUGGUCCGAGUCUCGGUUCAGCCGGAGAACCGAAGCCGCCGGAGACACGGUCAUCGCCGGAGAUCAAGAAGAUGAUUGGAGAACAAAUCAGAAACGCCCAAACUGAGUUCGGAUAACCCUCGUUGUUCUAAGUCCUCCAUCCUUACUCGUGCGUAUUUCAAGGAAUUCUUAUACGCAAUCAAUGUUUUGAGAUGACGUUGAUGAUGUAUGGAAUCUAGUAGGAUACGUAGAUACACACUUUAAAUUUUGUAUUCUUAUUGUAUGGUAUUUCAUUAUUCAUGUUGUACUUUGUUUCAAAUUCUUGUAAUUGAUUCUUUAGAAAUGAAAUGAAAUUUACUAAUUAAAUACUUGUCACAAUAUUUA